rnacentral:lncRNA from 1 species
GCGGAAACCAUCUACUGUUUGCAGAAAUGAUUGUCAUCAGUGACAGUGCUGGGAACAUUUCAAGCAGCACUGUUCAUUUUACGCUGGUUGGAUAUAAAGAGUUAAAGAUUACAGCUGGCUGAUAGAGAAAAUAUUUUUUCCUGUAUGUUGGAGAGGAACAACAAAUUCCACACCAUAAAGGGAGGAUCAGGGGAGACCAGCAUGAAGCAAACAUAUAUCGUGAAUGGACAUAAAUUAAGUGAACUUUCUCAAAUCGAGUGAACCUUUUACAAGUUUACAGGAGAAAAACAAAUUAUGUUAUGUGUAAACUAACAUGUUAGGUAUAAACUAAACUCUUAAACAGGAAUGGAAGACUGUCCAGAUCCAGAACUUCCAGAUAUAGGGCGUGACACAGAAGGUUUCAGUUGAGUGUCAGGAUAAUCCAUAUGGAUUUAAUGGUGUGGUGGUGUAUGGAGAUGGCAUGACCUCAAGAUGUAUCCCAGAUAUGACUGGCUACAAUCAAUACCUAACUAGACGUGGAAAUGGCUUUAGUGCUGGAGUCAAUAAUGCAGACAAUCUUAAUGACGCUCGAGCAUCGCAUCAAAUGCUGCCAGUGAAUGUUUCACUGACCGUAUCUGCUAUAUCGGCCCCAAUGAACACUCGCAACCAACUAGGAGGUCGUCACAUGGACCCAUAUUUCACUUAUGGUUAUGCAUUAGCACCCGUUUAUGGAUGUGGCGGGAACAGGUAUCCGCUUUGGGAUAGAGAUGAACAACAUGAGGAGGAAGAGGGGAAUUUGCGUCUUAAGGAGAAAAAGAAGAAAGCAGGAAGAAGAAGGAGGAAAAGAUCCCGCCAUACUGGUCAUUAGAAGGGCAAAACAUCUGACCAGCAUAUAAAUAAAUAAAUAGGCCUAAACCAUUGUAAUUGCAAUGUAUUCAUAAGAAUUUCUCUGUAUUUGUUGUACACCAUGC